ACUUUCUUCAGGGCUAUCAGAUGAAGGCAGCAACGAAAACACCACCACAAGACCAACUUCAGGCUGGAGCUGAUGAUGCCACACAGCGAGAAAAAAGAAAAUAGACUCUACUUAGAAAUGAAACUCAACUAAAGGUAAAAGUUGUCAGGAACAUCUCCAAGAAAGCCAGAGUCAGCCUCUAAACUUUGCAUCAAGAACGCAAUGGCUUCCCUGAGGGCCCAGGGACGCGUGGCAGCUGUGAGGCAGCCCCUUCUCUGCUGUCGAGGAACUGGACACUUCUCCUGUCCCUUCCCACAAGGGGCUUCCUGGAGCUCCUGCAACCCCAGGCAUUAGUUCCGGUGCAGUUCUAGGAUCAGAUCAAUUCACUCGACAACAAGAGAAACAAAUGGAGAUUCCUACACAAAGACUUUCAAGCACAAAGAAAUCCUGCUGCCUGUAAAGCGGAGCUGCCUCAGCCCUUGAUGAACGACAGAAAAUCUCACAUUCCAGGAAUUCAGAUGAAGUGAAGUGCUCUCAUGGGGACCAGGCAUGGUUAUGCCAGUCCACUGCCCUGCAAGCCUCAAGGGAAGCCAACUGCCCUUCAGCAAGUCACACCUGCCUUGGUGGAGGCCUUGAUUGGAAGUGCCACACGCUACAUGUCCAGUCCUGAGCGGGAGAAUCGGUGUAGGGACGUUCUGGGGAUGCCAGCUGUGGCCAGAUCAGGUCCAACUACAGAAGAAUAAUGAAGACUCCACCUGAGGGCUGGAAAAACAAAACCUCAAGUGUGAGGCAGCCAACCUGUUACCUCGAGGGACUGUUCCGCAGCACAGCGGGGCCAUGGGAACAG
rnacentral:lncRNA from 1 species